AUUGAACGCUGGCGGCAGGCCUAACACAUGCAAGUCGAACGGUAACAGGAAGCAGCUUGCUGCUUUGCUGACGAGUGGCGGACGGGUGAGUAAUGUCUGGGAAACUGCCCGAUGGAGGGGGAUAACUACUGGAAACGGUAGCUAAUACCGCAUAACGUCGCAAGACCAAAGAGGGGGACCUUAGGGCCUCUUGCCAUCGGAUGUGCCCAGAUGGGAUUAGCUAGUAGGUGGGGUAACGGCUCACCUAGGCGACGAUCCCUAGCUGGUCUGAGAGGAUGACCAGCCACACUGGAACUGAGACACGGUCCAUACUCCUACGGGAGGCAGCAGUGGGGAAUAUUGCACAAUGGGCGCAAGCCUGAUGCAGCCAUGCCGCGUGUAUGAAGAAGGCCUUCGGGUUGUAAAGUACUUUCAGCGGGGAGGAAGGGAGUAAAGUUAAUACCUUUGCUCAUUGACGUUACCCGCAGAAGAAGCACCGGCUAACUCCGUG
rnacentral:rRNA from 1 species